CUUUAGUUGCCAUCAUUUAGUUGGGCACUCUAAAGAGACUGCCGGUGUCAAACCGGAGGAAGGUGGGAUGACGUCAAGUCCUCAUGGCCUUUAUGCCCAGGGCUACACACGUGCUACAAUGGGCGGUACAAAGAGCAGCGAGCUCGCGAGAGUAAGCAAAUCUCAAAAAGCCGUCCUCAGUUCGGAUUGGAGUCUGCAACUCGACUCCAUGAAGUUGGAAUCGCUAGUAAUCGCGGAUCAGCAUGCCCGCGGUCGAAUACGUUCCGGCCUU
rnacentral:rRNA from 1 species